rnacentral:rRNA from 1 species
CCUACGGGAGGCAGCAGUGGGGAAUAUUGCGCAAUGGGCGAAAGCCUGACGCCGCGACGCCGCGUGAGGGAUGAAGGUCUUCGGAUCGUAAACCUCUGUCAGCAGGGAAGAACGGUCACUGUGCUAAUCAGCAGUGAAUUGACGGUACCUGCAAAGGAAGCACCGGCUAACUCCGUGCCAGCAGCCGCGGUAAUACGGAGGGUGCGAGCGUUAAUCGGAAUUACUGGGCGUAAAGCGCUCGUAGGCGGUAUGUCAAGUCAAGGGUGAAAUCCCCGCGCUCAACGUGGGAACUGCCUUUGAAACGGGCAAACUGGAGUGUGUGAGAGGAUAGUGGAAUUCCAGGUGUAGGAGUGAAAGCCGUAGAUAUCUGGAGGAACAUCAGUGGCGAAGGCGACUAUCUGGCACAUAACUGACGCUGAGGAGCGAAAGCGUGGGUAGCAAACAGGAUUAGAUACCCGAGUAGUC